CCGGGAAACCGGGGCUAAUACCGGAUAACUUUGAACCGCAUGGUUCGAAAUUGAAAGGCGGCUUCGGCUGUCACUUAUGGAUGGACCCGCGUCGCAUUAGCUAGUUGGUGAGGUAACGGCUCACCAAGGCAACGAUGCGUAGCCGACCUGAGAGGGUGAUCGGCCACACUGGGACUGAGACACGGCCCAGACUACGGGAGGCAGCAGUAGGGAAUCUUCCGCAAUGGACGAUCUGAAAUGAUUGAUCUCCGGAGCAACGCCGCGUGAGUGAUGAAGGCUUUCGGGUAAACUCUGUUGUUAGGGAAGAACAAGUGCUAGUUGAAUAAGCUGGCACCUUGACGGUACCUAACCAGAUUAGUCAAGCCACGGCUAACUACGUGCCAGCAGCCGCGGUAAUACGUAGGUGGCAAGCGUUAUCCGGAAUUAUUGGGCGUAAAGCGCGCGCAGGUGGUUUCUUAAGUCUGAUGUGAAAGCCCACGGCUCCGUGGAGGGUCAUUGGAAACUGGGAGACUUGAGUGCAGAAGAAAUGAUCGGAAAGUGGAAUUCCAUGUGUAGCGGUGAGCGUAGAGAUAUGGAGGAACACCAGUGGCGAAGGCGACUUUCUGGUCUGUAACUACUGAGGCGCGAAAGCGUGGGGAGCAAACAUUAGAUACCCUGGUAGUCCACGCCGUAAUGAGUGCUAAGUGUUAGAGGGUUUCCGCCCUUUAGUGCUGAAGUUAAAUUAAGCACUCCGCCUGGGGAGUACGGCCGCAAGGCUGAAACUCAAAGGAAUUGACGGGGGCCCGCACAAGCGGUGGAGCAUGUGGUUUAAUUCGAAGCAACGCGAAGAACCUUACCAGGUCUUGACAUCUGACAACCCUAGAGAUAGGGUUUAGUCAACUUCUCCUUCGGGAGCAGAACAGGUGGUGCAUGGUUGUCGUCAGGGUACCAAAUGAUCGUCUCGUGUCGUGAAAUGUCGAUGUGUUAAGUCCCGCAACGAGCGCAACCCUUGAUCUUAGUUGCCAUCAUUUAGUUGGGCACUCUAAGGUGACUGCCGGUGACAAACCGGAGGAAGGUGGGGAUGACGUCAAAUCAUCAUGCCCCUUAUGACCUGGGCUACACACGUGCUACAAUGGACGGUACAAACUGCAAGACCGCGAGGUGGAGCUAAUCUCAUAAAACCGUUCUAACAGUCACAGUUC
rnacentral:rRNA from 1 species